GAUGAACGCUGGCGGCGUGCCUAAUACAUGCAAGUCGAGCGAACAGACGCGGAGCUUGCUCCUCUGACGUUAGCGGCGGACGGGUGAGUAACACGUGGAUACCCUACCUAUAAGACUGGGAUAACUUCGGGAGACCGGUGCUGAUACCGGAUAAUAUAUUCAACGUGAGGGUUCGAUAGUGAAAGACGGUUUGGCUGGCCUCUAUAGAUAGAUCCGCGCCGCAUUGGCUGUUUGGUACGGUAACGGCUUACUAAGGCAACGAUGCGUAGCCGACCUGAGAGGGGGUUCGCCCACACUGGAACUGAGACACGGUCCAGACUCCUACGGGAGGCAGCAGUAGGGAAGCGUGCGCGAAGGGCGAAAGACUGACGGAGCGGCGCCGCGUGAGUGAAGAAGGUCUUCGGAUCGGAAAACUCUGUUAUUAGGGAAGAACAAAUGUAUAAGUAACUAUGCACGUCUUGACGGUACCUAAAGAGAAAGCAACGGCUAACUACGUG
rnacentral:rRNA from 1 species